rnacentral:snoRNA from 1 species
GCAGACUUCAUAGAAUCAUUUCUAUAGUAAACGUCCUCUUCUGAGCUCUUCACACGAGCCACAGAAUCCUCAACCUGGCUGACGACACAAAGUCCUCGGUACCCUAGAGUGAAGCCUUUUAUGUUUACUCUCGCCCGUUUUUCUCUAUGGUCCUCCUGGAUCUUGAGAAGACAGAGAGUGGUGAUGAUCUUUGACCUGCGUCUGGAGGACUGGCUUCGUGCCGCUUUGCGUGGGAGGUAUCGAGGGACUGAUUCUGACAGGC